GUGUGUGUGUGUGUGUGUGUGUAUUAAAAAUUACUGUUUGCCCCCCUAAAAUUUUUGAAAUUAAAAUUUUAUGUAUAAAAUUUAGUUUUUUUUUUUAAAAAACUAUUAUUUGUCCCUUUUUUUUUCUUUGUUUUGGCCUUCGCAUUUUAAUGUAAAUUUCAUUCAUGCUUUUUUUAUAUUAUUUAAUUUUGAUAUCUUAAUAUUUUAUAUUUUUAUUUUAGUCCCUAUAUUUUUAUUAAUAUUGCAUUUAUUUUUUUUAAUAUUGAUUUUUGGCCUCCUCAACGAUGAAUUUCUAGUUCUGCCUGUGUGACGAUGAGAUAAAUUGUCCUUAAUUUGUAAGUGUUUUACUUAGAUGCAUACAAUGAGGUCAGAGAACUUUCUGAUUUUACUUUAUCCCCCCUGUAUUUCUAUGGAGGAAGUAAAUUAUCCUUGAUUGCCUUCAGGAUCGCAUCAGGUUGUAUUUUCUUUUCUUAGUUUCAACUCAACUCAACUAAGCAUUU
rnacentral:misc_RNA from 1 species